UACGAUAUUUAUGGCUGCAGUUCAGCCUAUAUUAUCAAACCCAUAAAUAUCUCGUUUUUAAUCGAGUCCUGGUAGCUUCUAAAUAGAUAUUAUAUUCUACAUUUUUGUAGUCUUGAUUUGUUGGUACUAUUGGUAUGAUUUGUCUGAAGCCAAGUAUUUUGUAUGAUUUUGGUUCCCUAACAAAUCAAAAAUAUAAUUAUUUUUCUAUAUGGCAAAUAGGUUUUCAAAUCUUAUUUUUCUUUUUGUUCAAAUCCUGUUUUAGUUUAAUUGCAAGAGAGAGUCUGAAGGUUCUCCUCGGCGUUCAAAACGCUUAGCCGGAGAAAAACCUGAGCUGACCAUCGAUGUCACCUCUAAAAGAACUCUAGAAUAUACAAUCAAAAAGACUAGAGCUGCCAAUGCAAAUUUGCAACAAACAGAAGCUACAAAAGAUACACAAUCAGAAGCUACACAAUCCUUCGCUUCCCCUCACUCCUCGUCUGACUCAUGCUUGGAAUCAACAACUAAUGAGACUGGCCAAGAAGUUAUGUUGUUUGGGGUUGUCAUAGGAUUUAGCAGCAACAAAAAGCUUCCACAUGGAGUGUCUGAGGUAUCAUCUGCAAAUGAAAAGCAGCAUAUCGAGAACACUACAAGCAACCAACGACCUUUUGUAGGCAUGUAUGAUGAAAGCACCAAAGAAUCACAGAUGUAGCAGUGUCUUCUGAAUUGAUGGUUGCUCCUGCUCCAAAGCGGUCCUCAAACUGACUUGCUAGCAAGAAACCGGUUGUCGUGUCUAACGGAAGAGCACUCAAGCAUGCAUAAAAAUCAUGCAUUGAGAUAUUUGGGACUACAUUGGUGGAUUUUUAUAUACUUUAUAGGCUAAACUGACGGACUUUAUAUAGUUUAAGGACUAUUUAAUAUAUUUUAUAAUGUAGGGAUUAAAUUGAAGAGUGAUAGUUUAGAGAUUAAAUUGAUGGUUUAUUCUUGAAUUAUACAGUAAUCUAUAAUGAAUUCUUAAAUUAUGCAGUAAUCUACGACGAAUGAUGAUGAUAUCUCGAGCAACUUCCCUCCUUCGG